CUCUUAUCAUAAAAUUGAGAUUUUGAAAAUCGGCGGAAUGGCCGCUUUGCUGGGCGAAUGACAAUUCGAAAUUGACUUAGUGUGGGGUUGAAAAAUGCGAAUGCCCCUUUCCUUGUUCUUCCGUCUAAACAAACCAAAAAAGAUACACUUCCUUCCAAUCGAUCUGGUUGCUGUGUUAUCUCAUUACACAAGUCAUGAGGUACAUUUGCAGGACCUGUUCACGUAUGGCCGAUCCUGCGGCAGCGAAGAAUCUCUUCGAUCCAUCGAGUUCUUCCGUUUUGCGACAAAUAGAGACCAUAACCAACUUGCAGCUGAACGAGGACGACAAGUUGCCCAGGUUCAUGUGCCAGGACUGCCAGCACGACCUGCAGAUUGCCAUCGAUUUUCGCCGCGUUUGCAUCGAGGCCCAGGAGCUCCUUGAACUUCAGCUCAGGCAGGUGGAAAAGGAGGAGGAGGUGUUCGAGAGCCUGGCGGAGCAAUGGCUGGAUGACUGUCCAGAUGAGUUGUCCAACUUGUCGCCAGUGCUACAGCUGAAUGAUCGCAUGGAUCUUAUCUUCGAUCCUGAGCCACAGGAUAAGAAUACGGAUGAGGUGGCUUCCAUAGAGACCACGACAACAACAGAGUACAGGAAUGCAUACCAGCCAGUGGCCAGUCCGCAAUCUUCUCCAGAACUUUCCACAGAUAGCCAGUUGUCGAAUGAGCACUUUGACAUGGCCCUCUCUCCCGAAUCGGAACCAGCUAGUGAAGCUAUCAAUAAUCCGGAUACUUCCUCCAGCCACACGUGCAGCAAGUGUGGCCUCGAAUUCGAAAACGUGGAUGAACUGAAGCUGCACAAAUACCAUCUGCACGACAUCCCGCCAGAUACCAAAACGAUUUUCCAUAUGAUUUCAUUCAUGCUGCUCUGAUGGGAAUUAAGGAAUGCUUUAAACCCUAUCACUGAAUGACUAGAACAACUUAUUCACAAUUCGUCUGUGACCACUGUGACGAGGGCUUCCGAUCAGCAGCCGCACUUACGCGGCACUGCAACAUGAUUAAUCUUCCAUUGACG
rnacentral:misc_RNA from 1 species